rnacentral:rRNA from 1 species
AACGAACGCUGGCGGCAGGCCUAGCACAUGCCAGUCGAGCGAGAUCUUCGGGUCUAGCGGCGGACGGGUGAGUAACGCGUGGGAAUAUGCCUCUUGGUACGGAAUAGCCUCGGGAAACUGGGAGUAAUACCGUAUGUGCCCUUUGGGGGAAAGAUUUAUCGCCAAGAGAUUAGCCCGCGUUGGAUUAGGUAGUUGGUGGGGUAAUGGCCUACCAAGCCGACGAUCCAUAGCUGGUUUGAGAGGAUGAUCAGCCACACUGGGACUGAGACACGGCCCAGACUCCUACGGGAGGCAGCAGUGGGGAAUCUUAGACAAUGGGGGCAACCCUGAUCUAGCCAUGCCGCGUGAGUGAUGAAGGCCUUAGGGUUGUAAAGCUCUUUCAGCUGGGAAGAUAAUGACGGUACCAGCAGAAGAAGCCCCGGCUAACUCCGUA